AAUUGCAAUUUAUUGAGUUCUUACUAUAUGAUAGAUUAAAGAUAGGACCUUACAAAAACUUCAGUGAAAACUGGAAAGGUAGGCAUUAUUUAUACCUUCUUUAUUGGCGAUAAAACAGAAGAUUGAAGAGGUUAAGAAAAUUGUCCAGGGUCCCAUGACUAGCAAAGAGAGAAGUUGGACCUUGAAACCAGGUUCAUCUGGCUCCAAAGGCCACACUUACCUAUUUCACUGAAGGUGUAGCUGUACUGGAAAUUGACAUAAGAGGUACAUUAUGAUGUAAGAGCUACACAGUGUAUGAUGAAUUUGAACCUGCUUACUGACUGGGUGAUGUUGGGCAAGGUCUUGUAACUUUCUGUUCUUCAGGUCCUCUAGCUCUAGCUCAUGGCAAUCUUUGUGGGGACGUUCUUACUGGCUGGUAGUGGAAAAUCAUGUAUUUAGAGAUUGUAGUGAAAUAGUCUCUGAAAGGGUAUAAGGAAGGCCACAGAGGAAGGCCAGGCAUUUCCUUAUCUUUUGUGUUUGUCACUUUGUACUCUGGAUGGGAAAAGAAUUUCUCCUGGGUCAAGUCCAGUAUUGGUACUUCAUUGUGAAUGUCUUUAAUCUGUCGAUUUAGGCAAGGCUGAGAAGUGAGCUGUUUAUGUCACUGGCAUUUGCCCAUCUCUGCCUUCUUGGUCUAAUUGGCUCUGGAAGCCUUGACCCUGUUUUUUCAGGACCUUGGCUAGAGAUUUGCCUAUGCUUCUGUGGUUUUGGGUCCUAUCUUGUGCCAUUCAACUGGCCCCACCCUAAGACUGGUCUGGAUCCAUUUCACAUUCCACAUGCUAAUUUGUUCCGAGUGUCCCAGCUCUGAUGUUUCCCUUUCUGACUUUGUAAAUUGAGGCUUUGUUCUUUUCCAGUCUACAUUUUGGAGUAUUCCUCUACCUACACUGUCUUUAGCUGCCCAUCCCACCCAGUUCCCAGGCCCUUCUACCUCAGGAUGGCCUCCUUGUUACUCCUGCCAGGAUUAUUUUGGUUCAGUGGACAGGACAUGGAGAGUUAAGGUUUCUUGUACUGUGACAGAGGCAUGGCUUGAAAUAAUGACAGGACUGGCCAUGUCUGAGCUCAGGUAUAAUUAAUUGGUUUUGCCAAUUGACUCUGGGAAAGUUGGUGUACACUUUGGAUAACAGAGAUGCCUCUGAGAAGAGUUCUAAAACAUUGUAUCUGAAAAGAACCCAAAGGAUUUACUCUAGUUGCCACUCUCACAAACACGAUGACUGAACUUGAAUGUAUUUAGAUGCCUUACCAGCGACACACAUUCAUUUUUGGUGUGGCAUCAAGCCAGAUUUCAGACUCUGAAUUCCUAUUUUGAUGCUCUUUGCCCUGCUUUAUAUAGAUGAGCAAGUUUUUCUUUAAAUUUAGGGCAUUUUUCUCAAGAGGGACUCGUAGUCAUUUCUUAACAUAUCAGUCCCAAGCAGAGGGACUGAUGGAAUGAAGCAUCAAAGAGAAGAAAAAGGGCUGGGAGUGUAGCUGAGUGGGAGAGUUCUGUCUUAGUAUGUGCAAGACCUUGGGUUUGAUCUCUAGCUCCCCACCUAGCACUGAAGCAUGGAGGGCAGAGGAGAGACAGGCUAGGGAAGCACUCUGCACUGAGCUAUACCUCAGUCCUGAGAUUUAUUUUAAAGAUAUGGAAAGCUGAGGCUUAGAGAGGACAAAUGUCUUUUUCAAAUGACCACAAAGAAAGGAUAGAAGAGGGCUUCAGACUGUGGCUUAUUUGCUUCUAAAGAUACAAGGGGAUGGAACAGAAGCUCUUUGUCUCAAAGAGGAGCAGAACCAGUCCAGACUGCUGUGACAGGAAGCCUCUGAGGGAGCUUGAGACUAGGUACAGUGGCCAUCCAUCCAGAGGAUUACAGGAGCAGCCUCUGUCCCAAGAGGGGCUGAAUCAGAUGACACAAAGGGGACAUUCCUGAUACUGUACUAAGGGAAGGAGAAAAGCUCAGAACACCUUGAUCAGAAAUCUGGAAAGAGCACCUGUCACACUGAAGACUGUAGAAGAGAGCACAGCAGAGAGGAGGAGGUAGGAGGUGACCACAGCACAAGAAAGGAGGACACAUGGACUAUCAAGGUGGAGAGUGGACUUGAGAGACCAGAGCCAUGGAAACCAGAUAGGGCCACCUGUGUUCAUGACCAAGUGACUGGUAGCAACGAAGGACAAGAUGAAGAAUGGAAUUUGGAUGAGAAGGAGAAUGAUAUUAACAAACAAUUGCUGGUACCUGAAGGCUUGAGGGAUGGAGGAUUAAACACCGAUGGAAUUGCGGGAUCAUUAUUGGUGUAGGAAGAACGCUGGAGGCUCUUGAAUCUCAACCCCCAGACUCCUGCUGGGAUCCAGUUGAUGUCACCGACUUGUUCUGCUGCCAAUGGCCAUCAGCCAAAGACCAGCUCUUGAACUGGAAAACCAAUGGAACCCCUUUGAAGUUCAUCCUCACUACAAUCCAAUCAGGGAGCAUAUUGCUGGGGGGUGGGAGGGUUGUUGGAUUUUUUUACUUUUUAAAAAGAAAAUAGUGUGUGUGUGUGUGUGUGUGUGUGUGUGUGUGUGUGUUUUCCUCAAAGAAAGCAUGUUAAAUGCUCACGAGGCAAAAAUAUCUAUUUUACAUGCACUGUAAUUGUUCUACCUAAAAUGAAAUAUGUUAUUUUUCUUAAAUAAAGCUACAAGCAGUUUA